UAUAAUGUUUCCUCUUGGCACAUGCAUUUUCAAGUUAAAUUUGCACUUCAUCCAAACAUUAAAGUUGAAGUAGACAUCUUGAAUUUGAUCAUUCAAUUUGAAUGGAUUUCAUCUCAUAAAAAAUGAGCAAUUUAUGGUCUUGGGAAGUUGACAUCCAAAUUAGGGUUUAGACAAAAUGACCUAUAAUCUUUCACCAUAAAAAAUGACUUUCCA
rnacentral:lncRNA from 1 species